CCCCUCAUAGCUCAAUGGAUAGAGCGCGGGCCUUCUAAGCCUGAAAUCGAGGUUCGACUCCUCGUGAGGGGA
rnacentral:tRNA from 1 species